GACGAACGCUGGCGGCGUGCUUAACACAUGCAAGUCGAACGGAAAGGCCCUGCUUGCAGGGUACUCGAGUGGCGAACGGGUGAGUAACACGCGGGUGAUCUGCCCUGCACUUCGGGAUAAGCUUGGGAAACUGGGUCUAAUACCGGAUAGGACCGCACUUUAGUGUGUGUGGUGGAAAGUUUUUUCGGUGUAGGAUGAGCUCGCGGCCUAUCAGCUUGUUGGUGGGGUAAUGGCCUACCAAGGCGGCGACGGGUAGCCGGCCUGAGAGGGUGUACGGCCACAUUGGGCCUGAGAUACGGCCCAGACUCCGACGGGAGGCAGCAGUGGGGAAUAUUGCACAAUGGGCGCAAGCCUGAUGCAGCGACGCCGCGUGGGGGAUGAAGGCCUUCGGGUUGUAAACUCCUUUCGCUAGGGACGAAGCUUUGUUGUGACGGUACCUAGAUAAGAAGCACCGGCUAACUACGUG
rnacentral:rRNA from 1 species